CUUUAGAGAAGACCAGGAAAUGAUGGAUACACGGAUCGUGUUCAAAUCAAUAGGCACGCAAUGACUCUAAAUAAUAAUGAUCACGCCACCAAACACACAUUCAAACUAAAGGAACCAGCCUGUUUGGAAAAUGUAACAAGUAGAAAGUACAGGUAUUUGUGUUCAAAAUGUAAGAAGUCAAAGUAAAAAGUUGUCAGAAAAAUAAAUAGUGGAGUAAAGUACUGAUACCAGAAACAUGUAAGUACAGUAACGAAGUCCACUACUUCCCACCUCUGUCCAGACGUCACUUUCAGGCCUUUUUUUAAAGGAAAUGUAUCAGUUCACGUUACGAGCAAGUGGAUAUAAUGCCUACUGUUUGUUUAAAAUCACCUGAAGGGAAGCUGCUGUUGUUUAAAACCGUCGAGGGACAGGUGGCGUAGGGUCUAUUUUGUUUGUUUAUAUCCAGGAUCAACAGGGUUUUUGAAGUCAAUCUCUGUCUCAGCGUCACUGCCAUUUUACUGAAAUUGUGAGAGACUUGAAACAGGCUGUUGUUGUUGUUGUGUUAUGGAUUCUUAUUGUUAUUGUUGCUCAUGUGAACCGUGAGCGUUUUCAGGGAUGUACAGACCGUAAGCCACUAUUUUUUGAUGCACCUUGGCUUAUACGUGCUGAAUGCUUACGUCACCUUUUUAUGCUACUUUGUGAUUUAUGAAAUAUUGUUUGUAACAUUCCCUGGACUGUGUGAAUUGUCCUGAUAUCUCAAGAUAUGUUCUGAGGUUUGUUUACUUCCUGUGGGAAGACUGUUUCUCUGUGAUUAUUGUCCUGUGUUUUGCAUCACUCUGCUGCCCCCUGCUGGUGAAAUCACUCACAUUACAGCCCUUUCUAGUGGCUGCUGUGUUCAAGUCUCACAAUGAAAGGGAAAGAAAAGUAAUUAUGGAACUUAAAACUCCCAAUUUAGCAUUCACAAGCAGUAUAUAAGCAUUUAAUAAGUUGAAUGGAGGCUUGUGUAACAAGUCCUUACUUUUCUUAUAGUUGAGAAGUGAAAGAACUUGAGUGGCUUCUUGUUUCUUCUCAGUUUAGUUUUUCAUUUACUGAACCCAAAUGAUAAUGAUUUUCAGCACUAUUGUGGUUUAAAGCUGAAAUGGGCACUCAUAUAUCAGGUCAUUCUGAAGUUCAGUUUCAAAAUAAAAGACCUUUGAAAUCUCA